rnacentral:lncRNA from 1 species
CCCCUACCCACAUUAAGUCAACAACAUAGUAAAAAAGAAUCCUGUCAGUUGGAGGCAAAUAUGUAGACCAAAAAUUCUGGGUGGCCUGGGCAUCACAAAUCUCAGAACUCAAAAUAAAGUCAUGCUUUUGAGAUGGUGGUUUAAAUUUUAUGAGGAGAUUGAGAAGCCAUGGUGCUCUCUGAUCAGGAAUGCUUACUAUGCUA